rnacentral:misc_RNA from 1 species
UACGGAAGGGGCAAGCGUUGUUCGGAAUCAUUGGGCGUAAAGGGCGCGUAGGCGGUUUCGUAUGUCUGCUGUGAAAGUCCACGGCUCAACCGUGGAGGGUCGGUGGAAACUGCGAAACUUGAGGCUGGGAGGGGCCGGUGGAAUUCCCCGUGUAGCGGUGAAAUGCGUAGAUACGGGGGAGAACACUCGUGGCGAAGGCGGCCGGCUGGACCAGACCUGACGCUAAGGCGCGACAGCGUGGGGAGCAAACAGG